GGAAACAUAGUUCAAUGGUAGAAUACUCACCUCUUAGUGUGAGGUUGAUUCGACAUGUUGAAGCCGACGGGUCGGAGGCUAACCGGUCGUUUCAACUGAACGGAUUUGUGGGAGAUGAGAGUUCGAAUCUCUCUGUUUCUA